rnacentral:sRNA from 25 species
GGCACAGAUACUGCAUAUGCUAGGGCGGAGCUUCGAACAAGGUAUUGUUCGGGGGAGUCGGCACAGCGCCGGCGUUAUCGCUUU